rnacentral:sRNA from 1 species
CACCGCCUGGGGAGUACGACCGCAAGGUCAAAACUCAAAUGAAUUGACGGGGACCCGCACAAGCGGUGGAGCAUGUGGUUUAAUUCGAAGAUACGCGCAGAACCUUACCAACUCUUGACAUGUUCGUCGCGACUUUAAGAGAUUAAAGUCUUCGGUUCGGCCGGACGAAACACAGGUGCUGCAUGGCUGUCGUCAGCUCGUGUCGUGAGAUGUUGGGUUAAGUCCCGCAACGAGCGCAACCCUUACUUUUAGUUGCCAUCAUUUAGUUGGGAACUCUAAAAGAACUGCCAGUGAUAAGCUGGAGGAAGGUGGGGAUGACGUCAAGUCCUCAUGGCCCUUACGUGUUGGGCUACACACGUGCUACAAUGGUACUUACAAUGAGAUGCAAAGAGGCGACUCCAAGCCAAUCUCAAAAAGGUACCUCAGUUCGGAUUGUACUCUGCAACUCGAGUACAUGAAGCUGGAAUUGCUAGUAAUCGCGGAUCAGCGCGCCGCGGUGAAUACGUUCCCGGGUCUUGUACACACCGCCCGUCACACCAUGGAAGUUGGUUACACCUUAAGGCAAAUUGUUAACCCUCGGGAAACAUUUGACUACGGUACGAUCAGCGACUGGGGUGAAGUCGUAACAAGGUAGCCGUAGGGGAACCUGCGGCUGGAUCACCUCCUUUCUAAGGAAAUCGAAAGUUCUUUAUUUUCGAUUUAAAAAAAACGGUAAUGUGACCGUCCUCAUUUCUCUUCUUUGAUAAUGUCUCUGAGUAAAUGUGAAAGGGGCCGGUAGCUCAGGUGGUUAGAGCGCACCCCUGAUAAGGGUGAGGUCGGAAGUUCGAGUCUUCCUCGGCCCACCAAUAUUAUGGGGGAUUAGCUCAGCUGGGAGAGCGCCUGAUUUGCAUUCAGGAGGUCAGCGGUUCGAUCCCGCUAUCCUCCACCAAAAUUUGAGACAUUUAGCUUUUUUAAAUUGUGAAUAUUAUUAUCAAUAUCUAUAUCCGAUUGUUUUCGAUAUUUUUUUGAAAACAAUCAAAACAAAAAUUUAAUUUAUUACAGAAAAGUUUUUUUCUG